rnacentral:rRNA from 1 species
UACGUAGGGGGCAAGCGUUGUCCGGAUUUAUUGGGCGUAAAGAGCGUGUAGGCGGCUUGGUAGGUCCGCUGUGAAAACUCGAGGCUCAACCUCGAGAUGUCGGCGGAAACCACUUGGCUAGAGUCCGGAAGAGGAGAGUGGAAUUCCUGGUGUAGCGGUGGAAUGCGCAGAUAUCAGGAGGAACACCGAUGGCGAAGGCAGGUCUCUGGGCCACUACUGACGCUGAGAAGCGAAAGCAUGGGGAGCGAACAGG